UGGGCAGACAGAGAAAAGAAAGCGCUGCUCCACCUCCACAAAGGAUGGAUGCACAUUGCAAGGAAGAGAAAGGGACUAGUUAGAGUAAUGAUCAGCUCAUAAAUGAGAAUAUUAUUGAUGAACAAGAUAAUUAUUACCCAGCAUGAGUAAUUCAUGCCCUUGCUCAUCUGCUGAAGGAGGUGCAUCUGACCUUUUCACUUGUGAGUUGGAAGUAUAUGCCAGGUGAUAGUUGCAUUGGGUGUGUG